ensembl:snoRNA
CAGGCUAUAUUUUCAGGGAUCAUUUCUAUAGUAUGUUAUUAGAGAAGUUUCUCUGAUCGUGUAGAGUACCGGAAACCACGAGGAGGAGGCGUAGUGUUCCUUCCUGAGCGUGAAGCCGGCUCUUGGUGCUGCUUUGCUGCAGCUGCCAUUUGCCAUUGAUGAUCGUUCUUGUUUUCUCUUUGUGGGAAACAAGAGGGAAGGAAUGCAGUCUGAGUGGUU